UGUUGCAACUCAUCAUUGGCAGAACCAUAGGGAAUAGAUGGUAAAAUGAAAUUUUAAAAAACAAAAGGCAAUUAACUAAUGUUUUC
rnacentral:snoRNA from 2 species